GCCUACGGGGGGCAGCAGUGAGGAAUAUUGGUCAAUGGCCGAGAGGCUGAACCAGCCAAGUCGCGUGAGGGAUGACGGCCCUACGGGUUGUAAACCUCUUUUGUCGGGGAGCAAGACCCGGGACGAGUCCCGGACUGCGUGUAUCCGAAGAAAAAGCAUCGGCUAACUCCGUGCCAGCAGCCGCGGUAAUACGGAGGAUGCGAGCGUUAUCCGGAUUUAUUGGGUUUAAAGGGUGCGUAGGCGGUCCGUUAAGUCAGCGGUAAAAUUGCGGGGCUCAACCCCGUCGAGCCGUUGAAACUGGCAGA
rnacentral:rRNA from 1 species